rnacentral:lncRNA from 1 species
CAGAGAUGGAGUCAGGCAGGGAGUGCUAAGAGUCAGAGUGGAAAGGAGGACUCCUGCGCUGAGAACACAGAGGGUUCACCACCGGGGAUGCUGCCACCGUCUCAGGAGUAAUUUGUAUCAAUUCGAUAAAUGUUUAUCUGGAAACACCCAAGAGUCAGGGGAAGAGGAUCAUUCAGUGACAGCAAGGUCAGAAUGAGAAUAGAAAUUUGAGGGACAUGAGUGAAGAGGUGUUUACCGCCAGGAUGCUGGGGGAAGAUCUGAGAUCCAGGGAAUAACUUUGAGUGAUUGAGAUGGGAGAGAAGAGGGACUCCUGUAGGUCCACAUGAGGU